rnacentral:lncRNA from 1 species
UCAAACAUGAAACAAAGAAGCUUGGACGUGCGGCGACUCACAUGAAGAAAACCAUCUUGCUCGAAUAGGAGGGGCAAAUAAGAGAAAUCGAAGGCAGAUUCAUGACGUCCGACCUUGUUUGUGCACAAAACUAGAGCCAGAGAAAGAGAACGCGCGUCGGAGAAAAUGAACCAGUGCGGUGGCACUCGGUUCACAUGAGACUCGAUUUGCAGCAAUCCCUAUGUGUUUUCGGUGCGUUUUUACCAUAUUCAUGCUAGAUCCGUCGAGGCGCACAUUUCUGUGCCUUUUUUGGUAUUUUCUAGCAGCAGUAAGAGGUGGUUGACGGCUGUG